rnacentral:misc_RNA from 1 species
GAUGAAGAACGUAGCGAAAUGCGAUAAGUAAUGUGAAUUGCAGAAUUCAGUGAAUCAUCGAAUCUUUGAACGCACAUUGCGCCCCCUGGUAUUCCGGGGGGCAUGCCUGUUCGAGCGUCAUUUCACCACUCAAGCCUCGCUUGGUAUUGGGCAACGCGGUCCGCCGCGUGCCUCAAAUCGUCCGGCUGGGUCUUCUGUCCCCUAAGCGUUGUGGAAACUAUUCGCUAAAGGGUGUUCGGGAGGCUACGCCGUAAAACAACCCCAUUUCUAAGGUUGACCUCGGAUCAGGUAGGGAUACCCGCUGAACUUAAGCAUUCAAUAAGCGGAGGA